GACGAACGCUGGCGGCGUGCUUAACACAUGCAAGUCGAACGGUAAGGCCCUUCGGGGUACGACGAGUGGCGAACGGGUGAGUAACACGUGGGUGAUCUGCCCUGCACUUCGGGAUAAGCCUGGGAAACUGGGUCUAAUACCGGAUAGGACUCCUGGCUUCAUGGUUGGGGUGUAAAGCUUUUGCGGUGUGGGAUGGGCCCGCGGCCUAUCAGCUUGUUGGUGGGGUAAUGGCCUACCAAGGCGACGACGGGUAGCCGGCCUGAGAGGGUGACCGGCCACACUGGGACUGAGAUACGGCCCAGACUCCUACGGGAGGCAGCAGUGGGGAAUAUUGCACAAUGGGCGCAAGCCUGAUGCAGCGACGCCGCGUGAGGGAUGACGGCC
rnacentral:rRNA from 1 species